CAAGGAACUAAGAGUUUAUGGGGGAUACCUUGGCAUUCAGAAGCGAUGAAGGACGUGGUUACCGACGAAACGCUUCGGGGAGCUGGAAACAAGCUAUGAUCCGGAGGUCUCCGAAUGAGGAAACUUGAAAACUUCUUAUUGAAUAUAUAAAUAAGAAAGAGCGAACCUAGGGAACUGAAACAUCUUAGUACCUAGAGGAAAAGAAAGUAAAAACGAUUCUCUAAGUAGCGGCGAGCGAAACGGGAAAAGCCUAAACUUAGAUAUAUACUUUUAUGUAAGGGUAGUGGGAUAACCAAAAAAUGAUUAAAUGAAACAAUUAGAUGAAUAAGUUGGAAUACUUAGCCAUAGAAAGUGAUAGUCUUGUAAUCGAAAAUUGAAACAAUCAAGGUUAAUUCCCAAGUAGCAUGGAGCACGUGAAAUUCCGUGUGAAUCUGCGAGGACCACCUCGUAAGGCUAAAUAUUACUGAAUGACCGAUAGUGAAAAAGUACCGUGAGGGAAAGGUGAAAAGAACCCUUAGAAAGGGAGUGAAAAGAACCUGAAACCGUAUGUUUACAAGCGGUCGGAGCGCAAGCGACGGCGUGCCUUUUGCAUAAUGAGCCUACGAGUUACUCCUCACUAGCAAGUUUAAGUGUUUAAGGCACGGAGGCAAAGCGAAAGCGAGUCUGAAUAGGGCGAUAGCUAGUGGGGGUAGACGCGAAACCGAGUGAUCUACCCAUGGGCAGGUUGAAGUUGGGAUAGUAUCCUGAUGGAGGACCGAACCGGUUGACGUUGAAAAGUCUUCGGAUGACCUGUGGGUAGGGGUGAAAGGCUAAUCAAACUCGGAGAUAGCUCGUACUCCCCGAAAUGCAUUUAGGUGCAGCGUUGAGUAGAGUGUGAUGGAGGUAGAGCUACCGAUAGGGCUAGGGGGCUUCGCGGCCUACCAACCCCUGACGAACUCCGAAUGCCAUCACACUGCAUCAGCAGUGAGGCGCAGGGUGCAACGUCCUGUGCCGAAAGGGAAACAACCCAGACCAUCAGCUAAGGUCCCAAAGUAUAUACUAAGUUGAAUGAACGAAGUGAAGUCGCUAUGACAGCUAGGAUGUUGGCUUGGAAGCAGCCAUUCAUUUAAAGAGUGCGUAACAGCUCACUAGUCGAGUGACUUUGCGCGGAAAAUAAUCGGGCAUCAAGUAUAUCACCGAAGCUAUGGGCGCAAGCGGUAGGGGAGCAUUCUAAUAGCAUUGAAGAUAAAUCGUGAGAUUUAUUGGAGCAGUUAGAAAAGCAAAUGUAGGCAUGAGUAACGAUAAAGCAUGUGAGAAACAUGCUCGCCGUAAGACUAAGGGUUCCUAAUCUACGCUAAUCGGAUUAGGGUUAGUCGGGGCCUAAGGUGUACCCGAAAGGGGAAGCCGAUGGGAAUACAGUUAAUAUUCUGUAACCUGCUUCAAAUGAAAGGGGACGGAGUUAUGUAGGUUGUAGGAGGUGACGGAAUACCUCGUUGAGUGGAGUGCUUUGCAUGAAACGAACAAUUGAAUUAACUUCCAAGAAAAUCCGAUGAUAGCAGCCCGUACCAUAAACCGACACAGGUGGUCGAGGAGAGUAUCCUAAGGCGCUCGAGUGAUUCAUGGUUAAGGAACUAGGCAAAAUGGUCUCGUAACUUCGGGAGAAGAGACGCUCUAAGUAAUUAGAGCCGCAGUGAAGAGGUCCAAGCGACUGUUUAACAAAAACACAGGACUCUGCAAAGAUGAAAGUCGAAGUAUAGGGUCUGACACCUGCCCGGUGCCGGAAGGUUAAGGAAGGCAGUUAGAGCAAUCAAAGCUGUUAACUGAAGCCCCGGUAAACGGCGGCCGUAACGAUAACGGUCCUAAGGUAGCGAAAUUCCUUGUCGGGUAAGUUCCGACCUGCACGAAUGGUGUAACGAUUUGGGCACUGUCUCAACCAUGAGCUCGGUGAAAUUGAAGUAUCGGUGAUGAUGCCGAUUACCCGCAACGGGACGAAAAGACCCCGUGAACCUUUACUACAGCUUAGCAUUGGUCUUGAGUAAAUGAUGUGUAGGAUAGGUGGGAGACAGUGAAGUAUGUACGCUAGUAUGUAUGGAGUCAACCUUGAAAUACCACCCUUUAUUUACUUGAGGCCUAACCAAACGGGACAUUGCUUGGUGGGUAGUUUGACUGGGGUGGUCGCCUCCUAAAAGGUAACGGAGGCUUCCAAAGGUGCACUCAGUACGGAUGGUAAUCGUACGUAGAGCAUAUAAGUAUAAGUGCGCUUGACUGAGAGACCGACGGGUCGAACAGGUAGGAAACUAGGGUUAAGUGAUCCGGUGGUUCCGUAUGGAAGGGCCAUCGCUCAAAGGAUAAAAGGUACUCCGGGG
rnacentral:rRNA from 1 species